GAUCUAAGCAUAUCAAUAAGCGGAGGAAAAGAAACCAACAGGGAUUGCCCUAGUAACGGCGAGUGAAGCGGCAACAGCUCAAAUUUGAAAUCUGGCUCUUUCAGAGUCCGAGUUGUAAUUUGCAGAGGGCGCUUUGGCGUCGGCAGCGGUCCAAGUUCUUUGGAACAGGACGUCACAGAGGGUGAGAAUCCCGUACGUGGUCGCUAGCCUUCGCCGUGUAAAGCCCCUUCGACGAGUCGAGUUGUUUGGGAAUGCAGCUCUAAAUGGGAGGUAAAUUUCUUCUAAAGCUAAAUACUGGCCAGAGACCGAUAGCGCACAAGUAGAGUGAUCGAAAGAUGAAAAGCACUUUGGAAAGAGAGUCAAAUAGCACGUGAAAUUGUUGAAAGGGAAGCGCUUGCAGCCAGACUUACCUGUAGUUGCUUAUCUGGACUUUUGUCCAGUGCACUCUUCUACGGGUAGGCCAGCAUCAGUUUGGGCGGUUGGAUAAAGGUCUCUGUCACGUACCUCCCUUCGGGGUGGCCUUAUAGGGGAGACGUCAUGCAACCAGCCUGGACUGAGGUCCGCGCAUCUGCUAGGAUGCUGGCGUAAUGGCUGUAAGCGGCCCGUCUUGAAACACGGACCAAGGAGUCUAACAUCUAUGCGAGUGUUUGGGUGUCAAGCCCAGACGCGUAAUGAAAGUGAACGGAGGUGGGAACCCUUUGGGUGCACCAUCGACCGAUCCUGAUGUCUUCGGAUGGAUUUGAGUAAGAGCAUGGCUGUUGGGACCCGAAAGAUGGUGAACUAUGCUUGAAUAGGGUGAAGCCAGAGGAAACUCUGGUGGAGGCUCGCAGCGGUUCUGACGUGCAAAUCGAUCGUCAAAUUUGGGCAUAGGGGCGAAAGACUAAUCGAACUAUCUAGUAGCUGGGUUCCUGCCGAAUCCCCCCUCUCAAAGAA
rnacentral:rRNA from 1 species